rnacentral:rRNA from 1 species
CCACGGGAGGCAGCAGUGGGGAAUAUUGCACAAUGGGGGAAACCCUGAUGCAGCGACGCCGCGUGAGUGAAGAAGUAAUUCGUUACGUAAAGCUCUAUCAGCAGGGAAGAAAAUGACGGUACCUGACUAAGAAGCCCCGGCUAACUACGUGCCAGCAGCCGCGGUAAUACGUAGGGGGCAAGCGUUAUCCGGAUUUACUGGGUGUAAAGGGAGCGUAGACGGUAUGGCAAGUCUGAUGUGAAAACCCGGGGCUCAACCCCGGGACUGCAUUGGAAACUGCCGAACUAGAGUGUCGGAGAGGCAAGUGGAAUUCCUAGUGUAGCGGUGAAAUGCGUAGAUAUUAGGAGGAACACCAGUGGCGAAGGCGGCUUGCUGGACGAUGACUGACGUUGAGGCUCGAAAGCGUGGGGAGCAAACAGGAUUAGAUACCCUGGUAGUC